UGUAACAGCCACUAUGUUCCGACAGUUACUUUGUUCCGGCGGAACUUUUCAACUAGUUAUUUCGUUCCGAUGGAACUUUCCAACUAGUUGUUUUAUUCCGAGUGCAGUUGAAAAGUUCCGGAAAAAAGUAGCUAGUUGAAAAUUCCCGGAACAAUGUAGCUAGUUGAAAAAUUCUGGCCGGAACAAAACAACUAGUUACAUCGUUCCGGAACAAAUCAGAUAGUCAAUUUAUUCCAGCAUAUCAUAAUAACUAUUCAUUACACUCGGUAUAAAACCAACUAGUU
rnacentral:lncRNA from 1 species